AUGGUCGUUGAUGCUCUGGCAGCCAUCCUAGAUAAAGCCAAGGCUGCGGGACAUAUUAGUGGCAUAGUCCCACAUCUGGUAGGCGGGAAUGGGAUUUCCCUUCUCCAAUACGCAGAUGACACCAUUCUAAUGGUGGAAGGCUCAGCGAACGGCAUCACGAACUUGAAGUUCCUCCUAGCUUGCUUUUUAAUGUCUGGCCUCAGGAUCAACUUCGAUAAGAGUGCGGUCAUGGUCUUGGGAUACCCCCAAGACGAGCGACAGGGCAUCGCGGACCGCCUCAACUGCCAGCUUGGGAGCUUCCCCACGACUUAUUUGGGGAUCCCCAUUAGCGACACGAGGCUCACGGUGGCUGAGCUGCGCCCCACGAUGGGGAAGCUUCAGCACCGCAUUGAACCAUGGCAGGGCCGAUGGCUCUCUAAGGCAGCCCGGACGGUGCUCAUUAACUCGUCCCUCUCCAGCUUGCUCCUAUUCAUUAUGAGCUUCUAUAGCCUGCCUGAGACUCUGCACCAUGAGAUUGCCACAGUCCAGGGGCGCUUCCUCUGAGUUGGCGAGGGUGAUAAGCAGAAGUACCACAUGGUUCGGUGGUCGGAGAUCUGUAAACCUCGCGAUCAGGGCGGACUCGGGAUCAUGUACUCCAAACACAUGAACAUUGCUCUCCUGACUAGGUGGCUUUGGCGGAUUGCGAACGGAGGGGGUGGCUUGUGGCUUCGCAUCAUCCAGCAGAAAUACCUCCGUGGUUAG
rnacentral:rRNA from 1 species